rnacentral:rRNA from 1 species
GGACUACACGGGUAUCUAAUCCUGUUUGCUACCCACGCUUUCAUGCCUCAGCGUCAGUUAUGGUCCAGAGAAUCGCCUUCGCCACUGGUGUUCUUCCUAAUCUCUACGCAUUUCACCGCUACACUAGGAAUUCCAUUCUCCUCUCCCACACUCUAGAUAUCCAGUUUGAAAUGCAGCACCCAAGUUAAGCUCGGGUAUUUCACAUCUCACUUAAAUAUCCGCCUACGCAUCCUUUACGCCCAGUAAAUCCGGACAACGCUCGCCACCUACGUAUUACCGCGGCUGCUGGCAC